UACGUAGGGUGCGAGCGUUGUCCGAAUUAUUGGGCGUAAAGGGCUCGUAGGCGGUCUGUUGCGUCGGGAGUGAAAACUCAGGGCUUAACCCCUGAGCCUGCUUCCGAUACGGGCAGACUAGAGGUAUGCAGGGGAGAACGAAUUCCUGGUGUAGCGGUGAAAUGCGCAGAUAUCAGGAGGAACACCGAUGGCGAAGGCAGGUCUCUGGGCAUUAACUGACGCUGAGGAGCGAAAGCAUGGGGAGCGAACAGG
rnacentral:rRNA from 1 species